UUUCAGUGUCACAACGAAUACUUCCAAAAAAGGUUUCUAAAACUUUCGAGUCAACAGCUACCCUUAAUAACGCAACAUUUACUGAAGCUUUAUCAGAUGUUAACAGUCCCCAAUUUCACCAACUAGCAACAGAGUUUUGUGAAGCAAUGAAAGCAAUGUUUACCUCAUCAUCCUCACCAUUCAACGACGAUUACGAAGACUGCGAGGUACUUUCAUUCAGUCCUGGCAGCGUAAAGGUUAGAUUCAGAAUAGGAUCAAAGAUAUAUUCAGAAGUUAAUAUGGAAACUAUCUUAGGUCAGUUUAAAACUCAUUUACAAACUAUGAUCACACGGAAAGGGCCGUGGAAUCCACUCAGAAUAGAUGAAACCACAAUUUUCAAUUUUAAAGAAGUGGAUCCACAAUAUAGAAUAAAAUACAGUAGCCAGUUCAAGACGUCUACGGAGGAUAUAUUUACAGAAAAUCUAUCAUCUAGGUAUAUAAAGUCAUCUAUCAAAGAGAAAGAAAUGAUGUCUUCACAAAAUAGUAAAGUCACAACAGAUUCAGAAAAAUCUUCUUCUCUUGAUAUUGUGAUUGAAGAGUUAAA